ensembl:misc_RNA Metazoa_SRP Metazoan signal recognition particle RNA
GCUAGGCGCGGUGGUUCAUGCCUGUAGUCCCAACUACUCAGGAGGCUGAGGUGUGAGGAUGGCUUGAACCCAGGGCUUCUGGGCAGUAGUGUGCUAUGCCAACUGGGUGUCCAAACCAGCAUCAAUAUGAUAACCUUCCAGGAGUGGGGGACCACCAGGUUGCCCAAGGAGGGAUGAAGUGACCCAGGUCAGAAACGGAGCAGGUCAAAACUCCCUUGCUGAUCAGUAGUGGGAUAGCACCUAUGAAUAGCCACUGCACUCCAGUCUGGGCAACAUAGUGAGACCCUGUCUCUA